UUGGAGGGCAAGUCUGGUGCCAGCAGCCGCGGUAAUUCCAGCUCCAAUAGCGUAUAUUAAAGUUGUUGCAGUUAAAAAGCUCGUAGUUGAAUUUCGGGAUUUUACCGUUGGUCGGGCUAUCCAGUCUGUACUAGCGUGUAGAAUUUCUACCUUCUGGGGAACCAUCAUGUUAUUUAUUUAGCGUGGUGGGAAACCAGGACCUUUACCUUGAAAAAAUUAGAGUGUUCAAAGCAGGCUUACGUCUGAAUACAUUAGCAUGGAAUAAUAAAAUAGGACGGUGGUCCUGUUUUGUUGGUUUCUGAAUCACCGUAAUGAUUAAUAGGGAUAGUUGGGGGCAUUAGUAUUCAAUUGUCAGAGGUGAAAUUUUUGGAUUUAUUGAAGACUAACUUCUGCGAAAGCAUUUGCCAAGGAUGUUUUCAUUAAUCAAGAACGAAAGUUAGGGGAUCGAAGACGAUCAGAUACCGUCGUAGUCUUAACCAUAAACUAUGCCGACUAGGGAUCGGACGAUGUUAAAUAUUAUUGACUCGUUCGGCGCCUUACGGGAAAC
rnacentral:rRNA from 1 species